GACGAACGCUGGCGGCGUGCUUAACACAUGCAUUUCGAACGGAAAGGCCCUGCUUUUGUGGGGUGCUCGAGUGGCGAACGGGUGAGUAACACGUGAGUAACCUGCCCUUGACUUUGGGAUAACUUCAGGAAACUGGGGCUAAUACCGGAUAGGAGCUCCUGCUGCAUGGUGGGGGUUGGAAAGUUUCGGCGGUUGGGGAUGGACUCGCGGCUUAUCAGCUUGUUGGUGGGGUAGUGGCUUACUAAGGCUUUGACGGGUAGCCGGCCUGAGAGGGUGACCGGCCACAUUGGGACUGAGAUACGGCCCAGACUCCUACGGGAGGCAGCAGUGGGGAAUAUUGCACAAUGGGCGGAAGCCUGAUGCAGCAACGCCGCGUGCGGGAUGACGGCCUUCGGGUUGUAAACCGCUUUCGCCUGUGACGAAGCGUGAGUGACGGUAAUGGGUAAAGAAGCACCGGCUAACUACGUGCCAGCAGCCGCGGUGAUACGUAGGGUGCGAGCGUUGUCCGGAUUUAUUGGGCGUAAAGGGCUCGUAGGUGGUUGAUCGCGUCGGAAGUGUAAUCUUGGGGCUUAACCCUGAGCGUGCUUUCGAUACGGGUUGACUUGAGGAAGGUAGGGGAGAAUGGAAUUCCUGGUGGAGCGGUGGAAUGCGCAGAUAUCAGGAGGAACACCAGUGGCGAAGGCGGUUCUCUGGGCCUUUCCUGACGCUGAGGAGCGAAAGCGUGGGGAGCGAACAGGCUUAGAUACCCUGGUAGUCCACGCUGUAAACGGUGGGUACUAGGUGUGGGGUCCAUUCCACGGGUUCCGUGCCGUAGCUAACGCUUUAAGUACCCCGCCUGGGGAGUACGGCCGCAAGGCUAAAACUCAAAGGAAUUGACGGGGCCCCGCACAAGCGGCGGAGCAUGCGGAUUAAUUCGAUGCAACGCGUAGAACCUUACCUGGGUUUGACAUGGAUCGGGAGUGCUCAGAGAUGGGUGUGCCUCUUUUGGGGUCGGUUCACAGGUGGUGCAUGCCUGUCGUCAGCUCGUGUCGUGAGAUGUUGGGUUAAGUCCCGCAACGAGCGCAACCCUUGUUCACUGUUGCCAGCACGUUAUGGUGGGGACUCAGUGGAGACCGCCGGGGUCAACUCGGAGGAAGGUGGGGAUGACGUCAAGUCCUCAUGCCCCUUAUGUCCAGGGCUUCACGCAUGCUACAAUGGCUGGUACAGAGAGUGGCGAGCCUGUGAGGGUGAGCGAAUCUCGGAAAGCCGGUCUCAGUUCGGAUUGGGGUCUGCAACUCGACCUCAUGAAGUCGGAGUCGCUAGUAAUCGCAGAUCAGCAACGCUGCGGUGAAUAAAUUCCCGGGGCU
rnacentral:rRNA from 1 species